rnacentral:rRNA from 1 species
CCCUUAGAUGUUCUGGGCUGCACGCGCGCUACACUGAUGCACUCAACGAGUUUUCGACCUUGCCCGAUAGGGCUGGGUAAUCUUUUUAAAAUGCAUCGUGAUGGGGAUAGAUUAUUGCAAUUAUUAAUCUUCAACGAGGAAUUCCUAGUAAGCGCGAGUCAUCAGCUCGUGCUGAUUACGUCCCUGCCCUUUGUACACACCGCCCGUCGCUACUACCGAUUGAAUGGUUUAGUGAGACCCUCGGAUUCGUCCCAGCACAGUGGGUUUCUGCUGAGCUGGUGCGCGGAGAAGACGGUCGAACUUGAUCAUUUAGAGGAAGUAAAAGUCGUAACA